GGGAUGAACGCUAGCGGCAGGCCUAACACAUGCAAGUCGAGGGGUAGAGGGAGCUUGCUCCCUUGAGACCGGCGCACGGGUGCGUAACGCGUAUGCAACCUACCUAUUGCAGGGGAAUAGCCCAGGGAAACUUGGAUUAAUGCCCCAUAGUCCAUAUUGAGAGCAUUCGAUAUAUGGUAAAGAUUUAUCGGCAAUAGAUGGGCAUGCGUCCCAUUAGCUAGUUGGUGCGGUAACGGCGCACCAAGGCUACGAUGGGUAGGGGCCCUGAGAGGGGGAUCCCCCACACUGGGACUGAGACACGGCCCAGACUCCUACGGGAGGCAGCAGUGGGGAAUAUUGGACAAUGGGCGCAAGCCUGAUCCAGCCAUGCCGCGUGAGUGAUGAAGGCCUUAGGGUUGUAAAGCUCUUUCGACGGGACGAUAAUGACGGUACCCGUAGAAGAAGCCCGGCUAACUUCGUGCCAGCAGCCGC
rnacentral:rRNA from 1 species